UUCUCAAGAACUGCUGGGCAAGGAAAGUUCAAAUGUUCAUGGCAGCUUCCUGACAUAGUGCAGAUUAAAGUUUGUUGAAACCAUGGCUCCUGGGGGGUAGGAUGGGGCUACAAUAGGGGAUCAAAGUUUUAUAUCUGAAUAUAUAGGGAACAAAUCUUUAAAAAGCUCCUUCAUAAAGCAAUAAUUAUAUACAGGGCUCGAAAUUAACAUAUGCCCGUCAGUCUGUGACUGGUUAAAAGUAUGGUGGACUGACUGACAUUUGUUUUAGUCAGUCCGAUGGGACUGGUUAAUUUUCUAAAGCAUCAUUUUGGAAAAUAUACUUAUGAAAUUUUAUACACACAUUUGGCAUGGUUCGAUCUGUAGAUAUCAGACGAAUCUGAUUCGUAAAUAUAAAUCCCACAUUUAAGUGUUACAAUAUUGUCUGAGGCAUAUUGAGUUUAAUUUCAUUUUAAUAACAUUAACGAAAUAUGUUUGAUUAUUUCUGGAAAACUCUGUUGUACUGGUAAAAUUUUCUGCGGACUGGUAGAAAUUAUACCCCAUCAGUCCGACUGGACUGGUGACAUAAAAAAUUAGCUUCAAGCCCUGAUAUAUAAAUAUUUUUUAUAUUUAAUAUAUAUAUUUAUUUAAUAGUAAAUAUAUAUAAUGCUAUCUAUUUCACGUAAUUUUUGGAAUUUUUUAAUUAUUCUGAUGUCAACCUUACACGUAUAUUUUUCACAGGUUUUGAAUAUAAUGUCUCCAGUAUGGAUAUGUUUGACGAUUGUUACCAUGGAAAGGAACUCACAGACCAACAUGUAUGUCAAAACAGGUUUUGAACAUGAUGUCUCCAGCAAGGAUAUGUUUGAUGAUGGUUACCAUGGGAACGAACUCACAGACCUAUGUCAAAAAUGUCAUUUUCUGAUAGAAUAGACAUAAUGCUAUCCAUUUCACUUAAUUUUAGAAUUUUUUAAUUAUUCUGAUGUCAGCCAUACACUUCCGGGUUCUCUACAGGUUUUAAAUAUGAUGUCUCCAGCAAGAAUAUGUUUGAUGAUGGUUACCAUGGUAACGAUCUCACAGACUUAUGGCAAAAAUGUCUUUUUCUGAUAGAAUAGACAUAAUGCUAUCCAUUUCACUUAAUCUUAGAAUUUUUUAAUUAUUCUGAUGUCAGCCAUACACUUCCGGGUUCUCUACAGGUUUUAAAUAUGAUGUCUCCAGCAAGGAUAUGUUUGAUGAUGGUUACCAUGGGAACGAUCUCACAGACCUAUGUCAAAAAUGUCAUUUUCUGAUAGAAUAGACAUAAUGCUAUCCAUUUCACUCAAUUUUAGAAUUUUUAAAUUAUUCUCAUGUCAGUCAUACCUUUCCAUUUUUUGUUUACAGGUUUUGAACAUGAUGUCUCCAGCAAGGAUAUGUUUGAUGACGGUUACCAUGGAAACGAACUCACGGACCUAUGUCAAAAAUGUCUUUUUCUGAUAAAAUAAAUAUAAUGCUAUCCAUUUA